GAUCAUGGCUCAGGAUGAACGCUGGCGGCGUGCUUAACACAUGCAAGUCGAGCGAAGCACUUAAGUUUGAUUCUUCGGAUGAAGACUUUUGUGACUGAGCGGCGGACGGGUGAGUAACGCGUGGGUAACCUGCCUCAUACAGGGGGAUAACAGUUAGAAAUGACUGCUAAUACCGCAUAAGACCACGGUACCGCAUGGUACAGUGGUAAAAACUCCGGUGGUAUGAGAUGGACCCGNGU
rnacentral:rRNA from 1 species